AGUUACUAACAGGUGAAGCUGAGGACUCUGGCGGAACUGCCGGUGACAAACCGGAGAAGGUGGGAUGACGUCAAGUCAUCAUGGCCCUUAUGUCCAGGGCUACACACGUGCUACAAUGGAUGGUACAAAGGGUCGCCAACCCGCGAGGGGGAGCCAAUCCCAUAAAGCCAUUCGUAGUCCGGAUCGCAGUCUGCAACUCGACUGCGUGAAGUCGGAAUCGCUAGUAAUCGCGGAUCAGCAUGCCGCGGUGAAUACGUUCCCGGGCCUU
rnacentral:rRNA from 1 species